rnacentral:sRNA from 1 species
UUAUCGGCUGCAGCUCCCUAACCAUUGUGAACGUUACCUAUACCGUUGCUUCGGCGGGCGGCCCCGGGUUUUACCCCCCGGGCGCCCCUGGGCCCCACCGCGGGCGCCCGCCGGAGGUCACCAAACUCUUGAUAAUUGAUGGCCUCUCUGAGUCUUCUGUACUGAAUAAGUCAAAACUUUCAACAACGGAUCUCUUGGUUCUGGCAGCGAUGAAGAACGCAGCGAAAUGCGAUAAGUAAUGUGAAUUGCAGAAUUCAGUGAAUCAUCGAAUCUUUUAACGCACAUUGCGCCCGCCAGCAUUCUGGCGGGCAUGCCUGUUCGAGCGUCAUUUCAACCAUCAAGCCCCCGGGCUUGUGUUGGGGACCUGCGGCUGCCGCAGGCCCUGAAAAGCAGUGGCGGGCUCGCUGUCGCACAGAGCGUAGUAGCAUACAUCUCGCUCUGGUCGCGCCGCGGGUUCCGGCCGUUAAACCACCUUUUAACCCC